rnacentral:rRNA from 1 species
CCUACGGGAGGCAGCAGUAGGGAAUAUUGGGCAAUGGAGGCAACUCUGACCCAGCCAUGCCGCGUGCAGGAUGAAGGCGUUAUGCGUUGUAAACUGCUUUUAUAUAGGAAGAAAGAGUUCUUGCGAGAACAGUUGAUGGUACUAUAUGAAUAAGCACCGGCUAACUCCGUGCCAGCAGCCGCGGUAAUACGGAGGGUGCAAGCGUUGUCCGGAUUUAUUGGGUUUAAAGGGUGCGUAGGCGGUUUAUUAAGUCAGUGGUGAAAGACGGUCGCUCAACGAUUGCAGUGCCAUUGAUACUGGUAGACUUGAGUGAGAUUGAGGUAGCUGGAAUGGAUAGUGUAGCGGUGAAAUGCAUAGAUAUUAUCCAGAACACCAAUUGCGUAGGCAAGUUACUAAGUCUCAACUGACGCUGAGGCACGAAAGUGUGGGUAUCAAACAGGAUUAGAUACCCUGGUAGUCCACACUGUAAACGAUGAUAACUAACUGUUGGCUUUCGGGUCAGUGGUACAGAGAAAUCGUUAAGUUAUCCUACGUGGUUGUUAGUCGCGACGUAGAACGUUAAUUAGAGUUAGAGNGNGAGAGNGCGAGGCGACGACGAGGGAGGAGG